rnacentral:rRNA from 1 species
UACAGAGGUCCCAAGCGUUGUUCGGAUUCAUUGGGCGUAAAGGGUGCGUAGGCGGCGUCGUAAGUGGGAUGUGAAAUCUCGGGGCUCAACCCCGAAACUGCAUUCCAUACUGCGAUGCUUGAGUACUGGAGAGGAGACUGGAAUUCAUGGUGUAGCAGUGAAAUGCGUAGAUAUCAUGAGGAAGGCCAGUGGCGAAGGCGGGUCUCUGGACAGUUACUGACGCUGAGGCACGAAGGCCAGGGGAGCAAACGGG